CUGAGGACCCCAGUCAGUGGCCAGCGGAUCCCGACCCGCAAGCAGCCUUGUUUCAGUGUUACAUGUACAGAACUUGUCAUCCCAACUUUCCAGCCCUAAGACCGGAGGGGAAGUUAAAGGGUCCUGGGGUGACGGGAGAAAGUACGACAGUCUAUCGUCUGUGCUUGGGGCCCAGAAAAGAGCAAUGGGCAGCUGAGACGCAGCCAUUCGAUCGGGAACCGGUUGGAGCCAUUCACCGGGAGAGUGGAAGACAUCUACGAGAAGCGUGCAAGCAAGCCCGGGAAUGCGAGCGAAGGCAGAGAUUCUCAUUAUGUCACUCAGGCACGAUCUUGGCUCACUGCAACCUCCACCUCUGGGUUCAAGCGAUUCUCCUGCCUCAGCCUCCCAAGUAGCUGGAAUUACAGGUGCUCACGCGUCUCAGCAUUUUGGGAGGCCAAGGCAGGAGGAUCCCAUGAACACCCUGGGCAACAUACGGCAACCCUAUCUCCAUAAGAAAAGAAAAAUUGCUGGGUACGCACCUGUAGCCCCAACUACUUGAGAAGCCAAGGCAGAAGGAGCACCUGAGUUCAAGAGUUCCAGGCUGCAGUGAGCCAUGAUCCAGUCACUGCACUCCAGCCUGGUAACAGGGCAAGACCCUGUCUCAAAAUAAAGUAAAAUAAAAUAAAAAGUUUCUUGCAAGGGCCUUAGACUUGCUCAAUAAAUGUUGAAUUGAAUUUCUUGGUUCAUCAAGUUUACCAUUGCCCACAAUUAAUUGUUUUUCCCACUAAACUCAAACCACAUAGCAGUAACUGCCGUGGGGAGAAGGAGGAAGGCCCUUUUCAAGUCUAUUCAAAACAGCUUUUCCCAAAUUGAUAGGACAUGACCAAGGUUGGAAAGUCUAAAAUUAACUCUGCCAGCUGUGUUUUGGUUUGCUUCAGAUAGCACAUGGGCUCAGGGGGCUCAAUUUGCUAGGUUUGUUUGUUGCUUCAAUCUGCUGUGCUCUGAAAAAGUUUGUUUGCCUGGAAUGCACAUUGUGCACAAGACAUGGUAACUAGGCAGCUUGAAAAUAUAUUGGAAAUAAACAAAUAAGUAUUUCUUUGAAUCUCAGAAAAGCCCAGCAACAACGUAGGGGGAUGGAGGAGUUACUGCUGAGUAGGUCAGAUGAAUGGUUUAACAUUUAACCUUGCUAAAGUUUCCCAGAGAGCACGCUGCUGCUGUGCUGACAGAGAUGAAAAGAUGAUGAUGCAGUUUCAAGGAGUUCGUGUUUUUAGCCCACCCAUCUCCACGAGGUCCUUUAGUAUGAAGGACCAUAUAUAGACAUAGAGAGUACCCAACUGGGUGCAACUUAAAAAUAUCCUAAGUAUCAGCAGCUGUUACUUUCACCUACACAAAUUCA